GGCCCGACACUGCUGUAACCAUCAGCACAUGCUUGAAGAUGAUGCUGACACAGAGGACAGCAAAGCCAGUCAAGUCACAAGCACAUGGAGUCAUAGGCACUGGAUUUAAUACUUUUGAAGCAGGUUCUACUUCAGGACUUUCAGUGAGACUGAGUCUCACUCUGCCGCCAGGCUGGAGUGCAGUGGCACAAUCUUGGCUCACUGCAACUUCCACCUCCAGGGUUCAAGCCAUUGUCCUGCCUCAGCCUCCCAAAUAGCUGGGACUACAGGUGCGUGACACCAUGCCCAGUUAAUUUUUGUAUUUUUAGUAGAGACCAGGUUUCACCAUGUUGGCCAGGAUGGUCUUGAUCUCUUGACCUCGUGAUCUGCUCGCCUUGGCUUCCCAAAGUGCUGAGAUUACAGGCAUGAGCCACUGCGCCCAGACCAAAACUCAGAUUCUUUUACUUAUGACAUCAUCAAAAGCACAUCAGAGUUCUACUCCUAAUAACAAAUGUUUAAUUUUUAAUGAAAUGUAGGUGUUAGACCUUUACUAAGUACGGGCAGGAAUUUCUGACAGAAGCGGAUUUUAGAAACCCUGGUUCUUAUGUGUCCUCCCUCUCUCUCUUGCUCUGUCUGUUCAUUCAUUAUUUAUUUAUUUAUUUUUGAGACAGGGUCUCACUCUGUCAACCAGGCUGGAGUGCAAUGGCGUGAUCACAGCUCACUGUAGCCUCGACCUCCCAGGCUCAGGUGAUCCUCCUGCCACAGCCUCCUGAGCAGCUGGGACCACAAGGGUGCACCACACCCAGCUAGUUACUUUAUUUUUUGUAGAGACUGGGUUUCACCAUGCUGCCCAGGCUGGUCUCAAACUCCUGGAUUCAAGCAAUCUGCAUGUCUCAAGCAAUCUGCCUUCCGAAGUGCUGGGAUUAUAGGCAUAGCCACUGCACCCCACCCAUUUGUUCUUUCUUUCUCUCUAGUCUUCUUUUAUUUCUCCCAAUCUUAAGAGAGAGCUUUAGCUCCUAGGCCUUCAUCCAGCCAUCCAUAUCUCUGGUAUGGACAAAUGCAGUUUUCACCAUCAUAUAUCAAAUAUGUCCUCGAAGCCAACCCUUUCCCCGACCCGCACAUCCAGCCUGGUGCCUUAAUCUCACCCUUUGUGGAAUUCCGUGCCAGGCCUUAUGUUCUAGUGCACACCUUAAAGGGGAUCUGCAUAUCCAAAAAGCUGUGCUGCUCAGGAAGCAAGGAGGCCAGCCCCUCCGGCUGCUCCCACCAUCCUCUCUGUGCUCUUUUCUGGAUCUUACUUGCAGUAGGGCAGGAAUUCCAGGCUUUUCAUUUUUCCUACCUCUAUGAGGAGAAAAAAAGAAAGAAUGUUCAGAUGGGUGGAUAAGGCACAUGG
rnacentral:lncRNA from 1 species